UCCAUAAAUUAGGCCCCAGGACCCUUUACUUUGGAGAGAAGCAAGAAUGGCUGGAGUCGACUUUUACUCUGCAUCAUAUACGCCCAGCACUCAAGUCAUGAACGAAGGUGGGUCAGCAAUUUGCAUAUGCAUUAACAACAACACUGUUCAUGGGCCCUCCUUUUGAGUUUGCUUAUAAAACAGGAUGACUUUUUACCAGUUCUAGAGAUCUUGACAACUGAUGAAGAGCUGGUGCCAAGUCUACCAACGAAUCCACAAACACCAGAGCAAGUGCGGAUCAAUCCUGCCGAGGAGAGCGCAAGCUUAUCGACACCUACACUUAUUUGGCCAGAAGAACCAGAAAAAACUUUUGAAGAGGGGAAAAAGUCCCGCCUAAAGCUCAACAAAAAAAGGAGACUUUUUAGCGAAUCAGGUACUGAGAACCACGUGGCAGAGAGGGCCUUGGGAGAAACGGUGGUGAAACAGAUCACAGCACAAAAACCUAUACAGAUUGAAGAGUGCGUAACAGCUGAGGAAACCAAUCAACAGACCAGAGAAUCACACCUCCAGGAGCAAACAGCUGAGGAGGCCCCUGGACACAGAGAGGACGGCAGCGCUGAGGAAAGAAAACAA